AAUGAACGUUGGCGGCGUGGAUUAGGCAUGCAAGUCGAGCGAGAACCCCGCAAGGGGGGACAGCGGCGAAAGGGACAGUAAUGUGUAGAUUAUCUGCCCUCAGGUCCGGGAUAGCUGCGGGAAACUGCAGGUAAUACCGGAUAACAUCUCCGGAUCAAAGGUGUGAUUCCGCCUGAGGAUGAGUCUGCAUCCUAUUAGCUAGUUGGUGGGGUAAUGGCCUACCAAGGCAUUGAUGGGUAGCAGGUGUGAGAGCACGACCUGCGUCAUUGGGACUGAGACACUGCCCAGACACCUACGGGUGGCUGCAGUCGAGAAUCUUCGGCAAUGGGCGCAAGCCUGACCGAGCGACGCCGCGUGGAGGAUGAAGGCCUUCGGGUUGUAAACCACUGUCAGAGGGGAUGAAAUGCAGGUGGGUUCUCCCAUCUGUUUGACAUAGCCUCAGAGGAAGGACGGGCUAAGUUCGUG
rnacentral:rRNA from 1 species